GGCGCUGCGGGCAGCAUGGCGGCCGCCACGGCUGCGGGUGGGCUGCGGUCUGCGUCGUUUCCCCGUGUGCUGAGGGCGGUGGGGGCCCGCGGAGGGCUGCCGUGGCCGCGAGGCGGGAGGGCGGCGGCGGCGGGCUGGAGCAGGCCGGAGCCCGGCGGAGAAGCGCAGUACUGCGCCGAGCUGCUGCGAAAGCGUGACUAUGAAGGGUUUCUGUGUUCUCUGCUGUUGCCUGCAGAAUCUCGAACCUCUGCUUUAGCCUUGAGAGCAUUCAAUGUGGAACUGGCUCAGAUUAAAGACUCCAUAACUCAGAAGACUACAGGUUUGAUGCGAAUGCAGUUCUGGAGGAAAGCUGUGGAAGAUAUAUACUGCAAUAACCCACCACAUCAGCCAGUUGCUGUAGCACUGUGGAGGGCAGUUAAGAGGCAUAACUUGUCUAAAAUGUGGUUCACGAAGAUCAUUGAUGAAAGAGAGAAGAAUUUGGAUGAUAGAGCAUACCGUAACAUCCAGGAGCUUGAAGCAUAUGCUGAGAACACUCAGAGUGCUCUCUUAUACCUCAUAUUGGAAAUGCUGGGUGUGAAGGACAUCCAUGCUGACCAUGCAGCCAGUCACAUUGGGAAAGCACAAGGCAUCGUUACCUGUUUGAGAGCUACUCCGUAUCACUGUACAAGACGAAAGGUCUUUCUGCCCAUGGACAUUUGUAUGUUGCAUGGAGUUUCACAAGAGGAUUUCAUAAGAUGCAAGCAAGAGAAAAAUGUGAGAGAUGUAAUCUAUGACAUUGCCAGCCAGGCCCACAUUCACCUAGAACACGUGAGAUUCCUUCCCCCUUUUCUUUCUUUUGAAAAACAUAGUUGAUGCUGUCCUUUGCAAAGCACUGUGAAUGUAUUGUUAGGAGGCAGUUUUCUCACAGCCAGGUGCAGUUGCAUGUAUAUAAGUACUGCCUAACAGCCGUGUUACUGGGAGAGAAACUUUGAGCAGACAAUUCUAAGUGCAAGAACGAGCCAGAAUGGUAUCAGCACCAUAGGAAGGACUUGCACAUAUGGUACCUCACAGCACAGCAGGAGAGCUGUGACAUUUUGGCUCUGACUGCUGGGUUAGUAUUUGGGAGAGGGGGUUUCAUUUCUCAGUGUGACCAGACGUGCACAGAACUGUGUUGGGAAAUGUGUAUUCUGUUUAUUUCUUUUUGGGCUCACAGCCAAGUGCAUUAGGAAGGGUGCUUCUUGCUUGCAGCAGUAGAUAAUGAAUUCUGAAGACCUGCAUAGUCUUUUUUCUUUUUUUUUUUUAAAUAAUAAUUGCUGUUACUUUAGCUGCACUCAGAACCUGAUGCAAAAAGCAAAAGAAUGCUUCAUCAGCAGCGCACUGUUAGUCUGCCUUUAUCUGGAAAAUAAAACUUGCAGGAAGCACUGCAAAGAGUUUUCUUUGUCAGCAGUACGUGUAGACAUGUACUUCAAGUAUUGCAUCAAACACAGGGAGUCUGAAAAGAUACUGCUUCAAAGUAAGGAAAUGUUGAAAUUCUCUGCAUUUGCAUCACAGAUAUAAUCCUCAAUUACAAUGUUGGCCAAUCACAAAGUAUCUUCUGCAAUAUAGGCAGGAGAGCCCUUCUUAAUUUUCAUUUUUCUGAAGGUAAAAUAAGGCAUUCCUGGUUUGUUCUUUGUGUUGUUGGUUAGCUGAUUAAUUUUUAGGAGUCAAAAAUAUGUAGCUUCAGGCUUUAUUUUUAAUACAGACUAUUUAUAACCUGUAUUAGAUGCGUUUGUCUUCAUGCUGUUUCACCUGAUGUCUCAGUUUUUGUUGUCCUGUUCCCAAGGAAGCUGUUAAUUGAAAAGUUUGAAAAAGAGGCAAAGAAAAUGGAAGGUCAAAACUGCCCACAUCAGUGUUCAAGCAGAAACCUCUUUUUUCUUUUUUUUUUUUUUCUUCUUUUUUCCCUACUGUACCACCUGCAGUGUACAGGGCCUGAAACCUGUUGGGUUGCAAUUGUCAUUACAAAAAUGUGACAAAAAUUACAAAAAUCCGUGACAGCAGGCGUAGAAAAAAACGAGCAGUGUGCAUUUAUUGUGCAGCUGUUUAAAAUUUUGUUGCUGAUAUUGCACAAAAGCUUUGGGAGAGAAGCAAAGAGAAAAUUCAUCUCUUCAGAGCUUUUCAAAUAAUAACUGUGUGCCAUUCUCACUGUGAUGGUCCCCCAUCCCUCCAUGUCAAACUGCUGCUGAAGUGAGCAGUCAGAACCUUACUCCUUUUCCUCCCUACCCCAUUCCUAGAGUCCUGCCCAUGUCAUGCAGGGAGGGCUCUGUGGAUGUGAUUACAUCAUUGGAGGCUGUGCAGAAAACAUGAACAGAAGGAAGCCAAGUUAGAGCAACGCUAGCAUAUUAUUCAGUAAUCUUAAUUAAAAAAAAUCUCUUAAUACACACUACCAAACUCCAUCAUCAUCCGUGAAGAAUAACGGGCAGUAGAGUUUCUGAAGUGUUCGAACCGCUUGAAAUUGGCAGUAAUAAUAGGGUAUUAGCCUCCUUCGUCAUCAGAGAGUCUGUGUAAGAUACAGAUACUUUUUCCCUAAUGGAGGAAAUCUCAAGACUUCAGGUAGAUGCAGUGGCUUAGUGCCUUUAAAUGCACCGGUUUUCCUGUAUAAAAUUGCCAUUUUGUUUUGCUUAAGCAUGUUAUCAGCCACUCGCCCUCUGACUUGGAGUUACAGGGAGUGGUGAAGCUUAAACCUGCAGAGGUUUUAAGAGUCAAAGAACUGACAUGAGCCACACGUGCUUUGGAGGAUAACAGUUGUUAUGCCUACUUCACAGUCAGAAGGAACAAUCUGAAAACACUAAAUAAAUCUCAGGGAUAUUAUGUGAAAUAUAUUGUAGUAAAGUGGCACUUAAUCUUGUGAGAGAAGUUUCUGAAGCAUGGUCAGCUCUUUUUGAUGCUGUUGAUACCGCUGACCAGCAGAGGGCAAAGUAAGACAAUGAAGGUUGUGGUUUUCUUUAGGAACGUUGUGUUUUAUCAGAAUAAAAGCAUAUGAUGAAGGUGCUGUGUCAGUCCCACACAGCCCUUUGAAUUCUGUCAGCAGUCUUCACUUGUUCCCCGUCUUUGUCUUCAGUACUAUCUCCUGCAUUUUCCCAAGAGGACUCCUUUUGGCCUUUUGCCUUUAUCUUGAUUAUGGUACAUCAGUUUGCCAGGGAAGAUAAGGUGCUUUCUAAAUGGCAGUCAUGCAGACCCAUUCUGAGUUAAGACAAGCAAGAUUACUUUUUUCCUUUGCUCUUACAAUAGCAAUAGUAAGCUAGAUCAGAGAAGGUAAGUUUCCUUUUACAUGUAUGCACGUUAAUUUCAUCUCAGAUUUUUAAAAUAAUUUGCCAUCUGAAAAGAUUCAGUAUUUUUCCCUCCUAAAGUUUUAGGCAUGUUUUCUCAGUUAUAUGGGAGGAACCAUGGAAAACUAACAGAGACUCAUAAAUGCUCACCAGUAUUUGUGAAGAGUAUUUUUGUUUGCUUGUUGUUUUUAGCAUGUAAGAAGAGAUGAAACAAGGAGGGAUUCUAUAUUUAUAAUUAAGCCCUACAGGAAGAUUUGCUGUAGCUGACUUGCAUGUGCAUUUAAACUGUGGAGUUGAUUCAGCCGUGAUUUAGUGUGCAGUGUUUACACACAGACACUGAGGGCCUGAGGCACUGAGAUACUUGCAGAGUCUCAUGAACGUAGAGCAUAAUUGGACUUCUGGAACUGAUGGUAAGACUGACCCAAAAAGAUCCACUCAGAGAAAUGCAUUUCUGGUCCAUCGGUUCUGUCUCUUGGGAUGCAAAGAACUAUUUGAUAUAGUGCCAUAUUUUAAUAAAGAUGAUGCCAUAUUUAUUAAAACAGAUGCAACUUGGAACUUUGCAGGAACUGAGGGAUGCUAAUUUACAUUGUUAUAUUAUUAUGCAAGCUGUAAGGUUGUCAGAAGGUUAAAGAAUUCUAGGAAGGAUCUCCCAACGUAGUACACUUUUUGCAUAAUUACUUUGUGUACAUUGAGGGAUGGUGCUGGUUUACCCAUAGUAGUUUCUGUAUGUCAGAGAACAGCACAUUUUGUUGGCUCUAAGCAUUAUAUAUAGUACUUUAUAUUUAGUCUGAAACAUUAAAAUGUUCUGAUAAGUACAUUUUUUUUUUUUUUUUACUUCCUUUCCAUCUUAUCCCAUUUACUUUCAGGCUAGAUCUUUCAGUAAGAAAGUUCCUGUGAAGGCAUAUCCUGCUUUCUACCAUACGGUUGCUUUAGAUGAUUAUUUAUAUAACAUACGGAAAGUGGACUUCAAUAUAUUUCACCCGAGCUUACAAAAGAGGAAUACAUUAUUGCCGUUGUAUUUAUAUAUUAGAACUUGGAAAAAAACAUAUUAAAAUUUUCUUAGCAUGAA